rnacentral:rRNA from 1 species
GGUAGUCCACGCUGUAAACGUUGGGCGCUAGGUGUGGGGGGCCUCUCCGGUUCUCUGUGCCGCAGCUAACGCAUUAAGCGCCCCGCCUGGGGAGUACGGCCGCAAGGCUAAAACUCAAAGGAAUUGACGGGGCCCGCACAAGCGGCGGAGCAUGCGGAUUAAUUCGAUGCAACGCGAAGAACCUUACCUGGGUUUGACAUCGCCGGAAAUCUCCCAGAGAUGGGGAGGUCCUUUUAGGGCCGGUGACAGGUGGUGCAUGGCUGUCGUCAGCUCGUGUCGUGAGAUGUUGGGUUAAG